GAAAUGCGAUAAGUAGUGUGAAUUGCAGAAUUCAGUGAAUCAUCGAAUCUUUGAACGCACAUUGCGCCCUUUGGUAUUCCAAAGGGCAUGCCUGUUCGAGCGUCAUUUGUACCUUCAAGCUUUGCUUGGUGUUGGGCGUCUUGUCUCUAGCUUUGCUGGAGACUCGCCUUAAAGUAAUUGGCAGCCGGCCUACUGGUUUCGGAGCGCAGCACAAGUCGCACUCUCUAUCAGCAAAGGUCUAGCAUCCAUUAAGCCUUUUUUUCAACUUUUGACCUCGGAUCAGGUAGGGAUACCCGCUGAACUUAAGC
rnacentral:misc_RNA from 1 species